UGUACUGUUGAUGUAUAUUUGUUUACAACUUCUUGAGCAUAUAUAUCCACACCCAUUGCCGUUUCUCAGAUAAUAUCAAAAGCAG